GAUGAACGCUGGCGGCGUGCCUAAUACAUGCAAGUAGAACGCUGAAGGAGGAGCUUGCUCUUCUGGAUGAGUUGCGAACGGGUGAGUAACGCGUAGGUAACCUGCCUGGUAGCGGGGGAUAACUAUUGGAAACGAUAGCUAAUACCGCAUGACAACAGUUAUUGCAUGAUAACUGUUUAAAAGGGGCAACUGCUCCACUACCAGAUGGACCUGCGUUGUAUUAGCUAGUUGGUGAGGUAACGGCUCACCAAGGCGACGAUACAUAGCCGACCUGAGAGGGUGAUCGGCCACACUGGGACUGAGACACGGCCCAGACUCCUACGGGAGGCAGCAGUAGGGAAUCUUCGGCAAUGGACGGAAGUCUGACCGGGCAACGCCGCGUGAGUGAAGAAGGUUUUCGGAUCGUAAAGCUCGGUUGUAAGAGAAGAACGAGUGUGAGAGUGGAAAGUUCACACUGUGACGGUAUCUUACCAGAAAGGGACGGCUAACUACGUG
rnacentral:rRNA from 1 species